rnacentral:lncRNA from 1 species
AACUUCUGAAAUAUUAGAAACAUAAUUAUUCAACCCCACACAACUCCAAACAAGACUCUUUCAACCCUUUGAAAAGGGUGAUAGCAUUGUUUUUCACUUUUUUUCUUGUAAUGAGAUAUGAUAUUAUUUCAGGGUUGGCUUUUUGGCUAACUGGAUAAAAAAAAAAUUCUUUAUCAUAUCAGUGUGCACAAGUAAACAACAACAUCGACAAGAGUCAAUUCAAGUUCUAGAGACUAACAUACAUGAGUGAAUCACACAAGAAAGAAAGAGGUGGAAUUUUGUAUGUUAUCCAUAUAAGGCUCAAAACUCAC